UCUUUCUCUUUCCUUCCUAUAUAGGAUUCUGUCUCUCAUGUUCUUUGUCCUUUUGUGUUAACACAAGCUUAUAGUAUCAUUUUGGGUCACAGAUGCAUUGCUUGUCAAGAUUCAAGAUCCCAUGAAAUCCACCUGCUCGUUAUUUUUGGCAAAACAUGUGGGAACAGAACAAUCCUAACAACAUGAUGGUAAGACACAAUUCACAUUACAGUGCAUGUUUUAUUCAGUGCA